CAGCAGCCGCGGUAAUACGUGGGGUGCAAGCGUUAUCCGGAUUUAUUGGGUUUAAAGGGUCCGUAGGCGGACUUAUAAGUCAGUGGUGAAAGCCUGUCGCUUAACGAUAGAACUGCCAUUGAUACUGUAAGUCUUGAGUAUAUUUGAGGUAGCUGGAAUAAGUAGUGUAGCGGUGAAAUGCAUAGAUAUUACUUAGAACACCAAUUGCGAAGGCAGGUUACCAAGAUAUAACUGACGCUGAGGGACGAAAGCGUGGGUAGCGAACAGGAUUAGAUACCCCUGUAGUCCCUGUCUCUUAUAC
rnacentral:rRNA from 1 species